GGCCCCUUGGUCAAGCGGUUAAGACACUAGCCUCUCACGCUAGAGUCAGGAGUUCGAUUCUCCUAGGGGUCACCA
rnacentral:tRNA from 1 species